CAGCUCUGAAUUCUGGGUCAACCGUGGACCGACUGUGACCCUUCGGGCAAGUCCCUUCGCCUCUCUGGAGCUGGCUCAUAAGAGGGAAAAGGAACCCCUGUGGGGAGGGUCUAUUUAUCCUGGCGAAGAUUGCCUGAAGUGAUCUUCUAACAGGAGCGUUUCCAGAGGAGGGGCUGGGCUGGGAGAGGUGUGGACAGCUGGGGACCGCUCUGAGCAGUGCAGCCCCGGGCGCCCCACACCACCACGUGGUCUGGGGAGGAAGAAUGUCUGCCACACACUCUGGUGCUCUGUGGGGACCACCUGUCACUCCAAGCUGGAUGCAGCCGUGGACGGCACCCGGUGUGGGGAGAAUAAGUGGUGUCUCAAUGGGGAGUGCAUACCUGUGGGCUUCCAGCCCGAGGCCAUGGAUGGUGGCUGGUCUGGCUGGAGCGCCUGGUCCAUCUGCUCACGGAGCUGUGGCGUGGGCAUACAGAGAGCCAAGCAGCAGUGCCUGCAGCCUAUGUGAGUGUGGGGCCCAGGGUGCCCUGGGCAAUGGGACAG
rnacentral:lncRNA from 1 species